GAUGAACGCUGGCGGCGUGCCUAAUACAUGCAAGUCGAGCGAACAGACGAGGAGCUUGCUCCUCUGACGUUAGCGGCGGACGGGUGAGUAACACGUGGAUAACCUACCUAUAAGACUGGGAUAACUUCGGGAAACCGGAGCUAAUACCGGAUAAUAUAUUGAACCGCAUGGUUCAAUAGUGAAAGACGGUUUUGCUGUCACUUAUAGAUGGAUCCGCGCCGCAUUAGCUAGUUGGUAAGGUAACGGCUUACCAAGGCAACGAUGCGUAGCCGACCUGAGAGGGUGAUCGGCCACACUGGAACGGGAACACGGUCCAGACUCCUACGGGAGGCAGCAGUAGGGAAUCUUCCGCAAUGGGCGAAAGCCUGACGGAGCAACGCCGCGUGAGUGAUGAAGGUGUUCGGAUCGUAAAACUCUGUUAUUAGGGAAGAACAAAUGUGUAAGUAACUAUGCACGUCUUGACGGUACCUAGUCAGAAAGCCACGGCUAACUACGUG
rnacentral:rRNA from 1 species